GGACGAACGCUGGCGGCGUGCUUAACACAUGCAAGUCGAACGGAAAGGCCCUGCUUUUGUGGGGUGCUCGAGUGGCGAACGGGUGAGUAACACGUGAGUAACCUGCCCUUGACUUUGGGAUAACUUCAGGAAACUGGGGCUAAUACCGGAUAGGAGCUCCUGCUGCAUGGUGGGGGUUGGAAAGUUUCGGCGGUUGGGGAUGGACUCGCGGCUUAUCAGCUUGUUGGUGGGGUAGUGGCUUACCAAGGCUUUGACGGGUAGCCGGCCUGAGAGGGUGACCGGCCACAUUGGGACUGAGAUACGGCCCAGACUCCUACGGGAGGCAGCAGUGGGGAAUAUUGCACAAUGGGCGGAAGCCUGAUGCAGCAACGCCGCGUGCGGGAUGACGGCCUUCGGGUUGUAAACCGCUUUCGCCUGUGGCGAAGCGUGAGUGACGGUAAUGGGUAAAGAAGCACCGGCUAACUACGUG
rnacentral:rRNA from 1 species